rnacentral:rRNA from 1 species
UGACCUGCGGAAGGAUCAUUACAAGUGAGGCUACCGAACGUUGGAAACAGCGGUUAGGAGCUUACACCCACCCGUGUCUACAUACUAUUGUUGCUUUGGCGGGCCGUGGCCUCCACUGCGGGCUCUGCUCGUGUGUGCCCGCCAGAGAACCAAACUCUGAAUGUUAGUGAUGUCUGAGUACUAUCUAAUAGUUAAAACUUUCAACAACGGAUCUCUUGGUUCUGGCAUCGAUGAAGAACGCAGCGAAAUGCGAUAAGUAAUGUGAAUUGCAGAAUUCAGUGAAUCAUCGAAUCUUUGAACGCACAUUGCGCCCUGUGGUAUUCCGCAGGGCAUGCCUGUUCGAGCGUCAUUUAACCACUCACGCCUAGCGUGGUAUUGGGGCACGCGGUCUCCGCGGCCCUCAAAAUUAGUGGCGGCGCCGGUGGGCUCUAAGCGUAGUACAUACUCCCGCUAUAGAGUUCCCCCGGUGGCUCACCAGAACCCCCAAUUUUUACAGGUUGACCUCGGAUCAGGUAGGGAUACCCGCUGAACUUAAGCAUAUCAAUAAGCGGAGGAAAGAAACCAACAGGGAUUACCUCAGUAACGGCGAGUGAAGCGGUAACAGCUCAAAUUUGAAAGCUGCCAACAGGCCGCGUUGUAAUUUGUAGAAGCUGCUUUGGGUAUCGGCCCGGUCUAAGUUCCUU